GACGAACGCUGGCGGCGUGCUUAACACAUGCAAGUCGUACGGAAAGGCCCUUCUUUUGUUGGGUGCUCGAGUGGCGAACGGGUGAGUAACACGUGAGUAACCUGCCCUUUACUUUUGGAUAACUUCAGGAAACUGUGGCUAAUACUGGAUAGUACCUCCUGCUGCAUGGUGGGGGUUGGAACGUUUCGGCGGUUGGGGAUGGACUCGCGGCUUAUCAGCUUGUUGGUGGGGUAGUGGCUUACCAAGGCUUUGACGGGUAGCCGGCCUGAGAGGGUGACCGGCCACAUUGGGACUGAGAUACGGCCCAGACUCCUACGGGAGGCAGCAGUGGGGAAUAUUGAAAAAUGGGCGGAAGCCUGAUGCAGCAACGCGGGGGGCGGGAGAACGGCCUUCGGGUGUAAAACCGCUUUCGCAGGUGACGAAGCGUGAGUGACGGUAAUGGGUAAAGAAGCACCGGCUAACUACGUG
rnacentral:rRNA from 1 species